AGGAAUAUUGCGCAAUGGGGGCAACCCUGACGCAGUGACGCCGCGUGAGUGAUGAAGGCUUUCGAGUCGUAAAGCUCUGUUAGGUGGAAAGAAACAUCCCGGUGCUAAUAUCGCCGGGACUUGACGGUACCACCAGAGGAAGCACCGGCUAACUCCGUGCCAGCAGCCGCGGUAAUACGGAGGGUGCAAGCGUUGUUCGGAUUUACUGGGCGUAAAGGGCGUGUAGGCGGUUGGCUAAGUCAGAUGUGAAAUCCCUUAGCUUAACUAAGGAACGGCAUUUGAAACUAGCUAACUAGAGUACAGGAGAGGAAAGUGGAAUUCCCAGUGUAGAGGUGAAAUUCAUAGAUAUUGGGAGGAACACCGGUAGCGAAGGCGGCUUUCUGGCCUGAUACUGACGCUGAGACGCGAAAGCGUGGGUAGCAAACAGGAUUAGA
rnacentral:rRNA from 1 species